rnacentral:tmRNA from 1 species
GGGGACGUCCUGGCUUCGACAGAAGUGCUGAAACCUCAGAGGCAUGUCGUGGCGCCGGAGGCCACGUAAAAACCGGCACCUUGUAUUUGGCAACGAAUACGCUCUUGCUGCUUAAUUAAUUAAGCAACACGUCUACCCGAGACACUCCCUCGGUCCCGGGAUAGACGCCAUUUAGAGGGAUAGUCCCGGUUUCAUCGCAGGCGGUUCCGGGGCGAAACUUUAGUCGGCGGAGGAUCCGGGUAGGUUGUCGGCCGUCGCCCCGGAUUCAAUCUAAACGACCGACUACACAUGUAGAAUCUGUGGCGGAUCGCUUUUGGACGAGGGUUCGAUUCCCUCCGUCUCCACCA